UACGGGGGGAGCAAGCGUUGUUCGGAUUUACUGGGCGUAAAGGGCGCGUAGGCGGCCACCGCAAGUCGAUUGUGAAAUCUCCGGGCUUAACCCGGAAAGGUCAACCGAUACUGCGGGGCUAGAGUGCAGAAGGGGCAACUGGAAUUCUCGGUGUAGCGGUGAAAUGCGUAGAUAUCGAGAGGAACACCUGCGGCGAAGGCGGAUCUCUGGACAGUUCCUGACGCUGAGGCGCGAAGGCCAGGGGAGCAAACGGG
rnacentral:rRNA from 1 species